rnacentral:rRNA from 1 species
UAAUACCUAGGGGGCCAGCGUUGCUCGGAAUUACUGGGCGUAAAGGGUUCGUAGGCGGUGCGGCAAGUUGGAAGUGAAAUCUCUGGGCUUAACCCAGAGGCUGCUUUCAAAACCUGCCGUGCUCAGUGCGAGAGAGGCCAGUGGAAUUGCAGGUGUAGCGGUGAAAUGCGUAGAUAUCUGCAGGAACACCCGUGGCGAAGGCGGCUGGCUGGAUCGCAACUGACGCUGAGGAACGAAAGCUAGGGGAGCAAACAGGAUUAGAUACCCUGGUAGUCCUAGCCCUAAACCAUCAGGACUUGGGGUGGCUCGCGUAGGCGGGUCGUCCCGUAGCUAACGCGUUAAGUCCUGCGCCUGGGGAGUACGGUCGCAAGACUGAAACUCAAAGGAAUUGACGGGGGCCCGCACAAGCGGUGGAACAUGUGGUUCAAUUCGACGCAACACGAAGAACCUUACCUGGGCUUGAACCGCUACUGACCAACGGUAGAAAUAUCGUCUUCCCGCAAGGGACAGUAGUAGAGGUGCUGCAUGGCUGUCGUCAGCUCGUGCCGUGAGGUGUUGGGUUAAGUCCCGCAACGAGCGCAACCCUUAUUCGUAGUUGCCACCCGCAAGGGGGAACUCUACGAGGACUGGCUCCGGAUAACGGAGAGGAAGGUGGGGAUGACGUCAAGUCAGCACGGCCUUUAUGUCCAGGGCUACACACGUGUUACAAUGCACGGUACAGACUGUUGCGAACCCGCGAGGGGGAGCUAAUCGGACAAAACCGUGCUCAGUUCGGAUUGCAGUCUGCAACUCGACUGCAUGAAGCUGGAAUCGCUAGUAAUGGCGUAUCAGAUCGACGCCGUGAAUACGUUCCCGGGCCUUGUACACACCGCCCGUCACAUCACGAAAGUGAGCUGUACUAGAAGUCGCCCAACCAACCGUAAGGGGGCAGGCGCCCAAGGUAUGGCCCAUGAUUGGGGUG